GAUGAACGCUGGCGGCGUGCUUAACACAUGCAAGUCGAACGGUGAAGGCGGAGCUUGCUCUGCUGGAUCAGUGGCGAACGGGUGAGUAACACGUGAGCAAUCUGCCCCUGACUCUGGGAUAAGCGCUGGAAACGGCGUCAAAUACUGGAUACGAGCUGCGAAGGCAUCUUCAGCAGCUGGAAAGAAUUUCGGUCAGGGAUGAGCUCGCGGCCUAUCAGCUUGUUGGUGAGGUAAUGGCUCACCAAGGCGUCGACGGGUAGCCGGCCUGAGAGGGUGACCGGCCACACUGGGACUGAGACACGGCCCAGACUCCUACGGGAGGCAGCAGUGGGGAAUAUUGCACAAUGGGCGAAAGCCUGAUGCAGCAACGCCGCGUGAGGGACGACGGCCUUCGGGUUGUAAACCUCUUUUAGCAGGGAAGAAGCGAAAGUGACGGUACCUGCAGAAAAAGCGCCGGCUAACUACGUG
rnacentral:rRNA from 1 species